rnacentral:misc_RNA from 1 species
AGGGUGCUCCGGCACCGAAUAUAGUACACCUUGCUCGGCUACACUAUAGACUUGUGCUUUUUGACUUUCCUACUUGUCUAAUUGUGCUCUAGUUCUUAGGAUUGCACCUACUUCAAGUCCACUAACAGAUCUUCAUAAACUUUGACUCCAAAUCUUCCAUUGAGUUCUCCCAAUCUCAUCAGUGUUUUUGUCACCUACCCAUUCAAUAUAUUGCAAACUGAGACUUGAAAUCAAAGAUUUGAUUUCAUCUAG